UGCAGCUUCAGGGCUAGAAUUCCUCACUUA
rnacentral:piRNA from 1 species